AGCGGCAGGCUUAACACAUGCAUGUCGAGGGGUAACGAUCCCGCUUCGGUGGGAGGCGACGACCGGCAAAUGGGUGAGUAAUACAUAUGCAACUUGCCCGUAGCUGGAGGAUAGCUUCCGGAAACGGAAAUUAAUACUUCAUAAUAUCCUAAUAUCGCAUGUUAUAAGGAUUAAAGUUUCGACGGCUACGGAUGGGCAUAUGUCCCAUUAGCUUGUUGGUGAGGUAACGGCUCACCAAGGCUACGAUGGGUAGGGGGCCUGAGAGGGUGAUCCCCCACACUGGUACUGAGACGCGGACCAGACUCCUACGGGAGGCAGCAGUGAGGAAUAUUGGUCAAUGGGCGAAAGCCUGAACCAGCCAUGCCGCGUGCAGGAUGACUGUCCUAUGGAUUGUAAACUGCUUUUCUGCAGGAAGAAACGCUUCUACGUGUAGAGGUUUGACGGUACUGCAGGAAUAAGCAUCGGCUAACUCCGUGCCGGCAGCCGCGGUAAUACGGAGGAUGCGAGCGUUAUCCGGAUUCAUUGGGUUUAAAGGGUGCGUAGGCGGAUUGGUAAGUCAAAGGUGAAAGUCUGUAGCUUAACUAUAGAAGUGCCUUUGAUACUGCUAGUCUUGAGUACAGUUGAGGCGAGUGGAAUGUGUAGUGUAUCGGUGAAAUGCAUAGAUACUACACAGAACACCAAUUGUGAAGACAGCUCGCUAAGCUGCUACUGACGCUCAGGCACGAAAGCGUGGGGAGCGAACAGGAUUAGAUACCCUGGUAGUCCACGCUGUAAACUAUGAUCACUAGCUGUUGGCGAUAAAUUGUCAGUGGCUGAGCGAAAGCGUUAAGUGAUCCACCUGGGGAGUACGAUCGCAAGGUUGAAACUCAAAGGAAUUGACGGGGGCCCGCACAAGCGGUGGAACGUGUGGUUUAAUUCGAUGAUACGCGAGGAACCUUACCUGGGCUUAAAUGUAGAACGACGUCCUGAGAAAUCGGGAUUCCCUUCGGGGCGGACUACAAGGUGCUGCAUGGUUGUCGUCAGCUCGUGCCGUGAGGUAUCGGGUUAAGUCCCAUAACGAGCGCAACCCCUAUUGUUAGUUGCCAGCGGAUAAUGCCGGGGACUCUAACAAAACUGCCCGUGUAAACGGGAGGAAGGUGGGGAUGACGUC
rnacentral:rRNA from 1 species